AUGUCAUCCAGAGCGGUUGAGGGACGGGCCCGAAGAAACCGCGGCAACCAGUGUUAAUACCAGGUGCCAAUGCCCGACCGAUGAGGA
rnacentral:ncRNA from 1 species